UACGGGGGGAGCAAGCGUUGUUCGGAUUUACUGGGCGUAAAGGGCGCGUAGGCGGCGCGACAAGUCACUUGUGAAAUCUCCGGGCUUAACUCGGAGCGGCCAAGUGAUACUGUCGUGCUAGAGUGCGGAAGGGGCAACUGGAAUUCUCGGUGUAGCGGUGAAAUGCGUAGAUAUCGAGAGGAACACCUGCGGCGAAGGCGGGUUGCUAGGCUGACACUGACGCUGAUGCGCGAAAGCCAGGGGAGCAAACGGG
rnacentral:rRNA from 1 species